rnacentral:rRNA from 1 species
ACUUGGUGUGGUUGUUGCUGGCCCUCUCGGGGGCAUGUGCACACCCACCAUCCUCAUCUCUCCACCUGUGCACCUCUUGUAGACCUGGAUAGACUUUCCGAGGCAACUCGGUCGGGAAGAUUGCUGCGCUCUGUGAGCCAGCUUUCUUUGCAUGUCCAGGCCUAUGUUUUUCAUAUACCCCUAUAGAAUGUAACAGAAUGUAUCAUUGGGCCUUGUGCCUAUAAACCUUAUACAACUUUCAGCAACGGAUCUCUUGGCUCUCGCAUCGAUGAAGAACGCAGCGAAAUGCGAUAAGUAAUGUGAAUUGCAGAAUUCAGUGAAUCAUCGAAUCUUUGAACGCACCUUGCGCUCCUUGGUAUUCCGAGGAGCAUGCCUGUUUGAGUGUCAUUAAAUUCUCAACCUUAUUAGCUUUUGUUGAUAAUGGAUUGGAUGUGGGGGUUUAUUUUGCUGGCUUCUUCACAGAGAUCAGCUCCCCUUAAAUGCAUUAGCUGGUGCCCCGCGUGGACCAUCUAUUGGUGUGAUAAUUAUCUACGCCGUGGAUGUCUGCAAUCAUAUGGGUUUUGCACUGCUUCUAACCGUCUGUUCAUUCGGACAAUACAUGACAAUUUGACCUCAAAUCAGGUAGGACUACCCGCUGAACUUAAGCAUAUCAAUAAGCGGAGGAAAAGAAACUAACAAGGAUUCCCCUAGUAACUGCGAGUGAAGCGGGAAAAGCUCAAAUUUAAAAUCUGGCGGUCUCCGGCCGUCCGAGUUGUAAUCUAGAGAAGUGUUAUCCGCGCUGGACCGUGUAC